rnacentral:rRNA from 1 species
AUGGGGAGUCGCAGGUUCUCCUCCGGCGUGUCCACUGUCAUCCUCGCCAUCUCCGUCGUGGCGCUUCUCAACACCGACGUGGCGCUGUGCGGCUGCAGCUACAAGCGUAUCUUCGCGUUCGGUGACUCCCUCAUCGACACCGGCAACUUGUUAUACUCCGUCGGCAACAGGGCGUCGCCAAUCAAGGAGCUCCCCUACGGCAUGACCUUCUUCAAGCACCCCACCGGCCGCAUCACCGACGGCCGUGUCGUCGUCGACUUCUACACGGAGGCGUUCGGUCUGCCGCUGCUGCCGCCGAGCAUCCCGGAGGAGGCGACCGGGCAGUUCCCCACCGGCGCCAACUUCGCCGUGGGGGGCGCCAUCGCACUUCCACUGGAGUACUACAAGACCAAAUACAACUUCACGAUGAACGCGCCUUCCAACCUCGACCGGCAGCUCGCGUCCUUCAAGAAGAUCCUUGCGCGCAUCGCUCCCGGGAACGUAGAUCUGUAUAUCAUUUCUCGUCUUGACACAGGCGCCACGAGGUCUCUCCUCAACGAGUCCCUGGUGCUGAUGGGCGAGAUCGGCGGGAACGACUACAACUUCUGGUUCAGUGACCGCCGGAGACCCCGUGAAACGCCGGAGAAGUACCUGCCCGACGUGGUCGCCCGCAUCGGCGCCGCCGUGCAGGAGGUGAUCAACCUCGGCGCCAGGACGAUCGUCGUCCCUGGCAACUUCCCCAUCGGGUGCUUGCCGGCGUACCUGGGCGCCCACCAGAGCAACGUCAAGGCUGACUACGACGAGCUCCACUGCCUCAAGUGGUAUAACGAAUUCUCCCAGAAGCACAACCAGGUGCUGCGGCAGGAGAUCGCGCGGCUCUGGUCGCAGAACCCUGGCGUCAAGGUCGUCUACGCUGACUACUACGGCGCCGCCAUGCAGUUCGUCCAAAAGCCGCAGGCGUACGGCAUCGCCGACCCGCUCGUGGCGUGCUGCAACGGCAAUGGGCCGUACCACACCGGCGGGGCGUGCAACAACCAGACGAAACUCUGGGGCAGCCCCGACCGCUUCGCCAGCUGGGACGGCCUGCACAUGACGGAGAAGGCGUACAAGAUUGUCUCCGACGGGGUGCUGGACGGGCCAUUCGCCGACACACCGCUGCGCCAUACUUGCUAG